rnacentral:rRNA from 1 species
UAGUCCACGCCGUAAACGAUGGUCACUAGUUGUUGGGGCUUUAUGCCUCAGUGAUUAAGCGAAAGUGAUAAGUGACCCACCUGGGGAGUACGAUCGCAAGAUUGAAACUCAAAGGAAUUGACGGGGGCCCGCACAAGCGGUGGAGCAUGUGGUUUAAUUCGAUGAUACGCGAGGAACCUUACCAGGGCUUAAAUGUAAGUUGCAUAGACCAGAGAUGGUCUUUUCUUCGGACUACUUACAAGGUGCUGCAUGGUUGUCGUCAGCUCGUGCCGUGAGGUGUCAGGUUAAGUCCUAUAACGAGCGCAACCCCUGUUGUUAGUUGCCAGCGAGUCAAGUCGGGAACUCUAACAAGACUGCCAGUGCAAACUGUGAGGAAGGUGGGGAUGACGUCAAAUCAUCACGGCCCUUACGUCCUGGGCUACACACGUGCUACAAUGGUAGGUACAGAGAGCAGCCACAACGCGAGUUGGAGCGAAUCUAUAAAACCUAUCACAGUUCGGAUCGG